UACGGAGGGUGCAAGCGUUAUCCGGAUUCACUGGGUUUAAAGGGUGCGUAGGUGGGUUGGUAAGUCAGUGGUGAAAUCUCCGAGCUUAACUCGGAAACUGCCAUUGAUACUACCGAUCUUGAAUACUGUGGAGGUGAGCGGAAUAUAUCAUGUAGCGGUGAAAUGCUUAGAUAUGAUAUAGAACACCGAUUGCGAAGGCAGCUCACUACGCAGUUAUUGACACUGAGGCACGAAAGCGUGGGGAUCAAACAGG
rnacentral:rRNA from 1 species